rnacentral:rRNA from 1 species
AGAGUUUGAUCAUGGCUCAGGACGAACGCUGGCGGCGCGCCUCACACAUGCAAGUCGAGCGAGAACCAGGACUUCGGUCCUGGGGAAAGCGGCGAACGGGUGCGUAACACGUGAGCAACCUGCCCCGAAGACCGGGACAAGCCGGGGAAACCUGGUCUAAUACCGGAUGUCCUCGAAUGAUCGCAUGGUCGAUCGAGGAAAUGGAUUCCGCUUCGGGAUGGGCUCGCGGUCUAUCAGCUUGUUGGUGGGGUAACGGCCUACCAAGGCGACGACGGAUAGCUGGUCUGAGAGGACGAUCAGCCACACUGGGACUGAGACACGGCCCAGACUCCUACGGGAGGCAGCAGUGGGGAAUCUUGCGCAAUGGGGGAAACCCUGACGCAGCGACGCCGCGUGCGGGAUGAAGGCCUUCGGGUUGUAAACCGCUUUCAGCAGGGACGAAAUUGACGGUACCUGCAGAAGAAGGCCCGGCCAACUACGUGCCAGCAGCCGCGGUAAUACGUAGGGGCCUAGCGUUGUCCGGAUUUAUUGGGCGUAAAGAGCUCGUAGGCGGUUCGGCAAGUCGGAUGUGAAAUCUCCACGCUCAACGUGGAGGGGCCAUUCGAAACUGCCGUGACUCGAGUCCGGUAGGGGAGUGUGGAAUUCCCGGUGUAGCGGUGAAAUGCGCAGAUAUCGGGAGGAACACCAGUAGCGAAGGCGGCACUCUGGGCCGGUACUGACGCUGAGGAGCGAAAGCGUGGGGAGCGAACAGGAUUAGAUACCCUAGUAGUCC